rnacentral:rRNA from 1 species
UUCCGUAGGUGAACCUGCGGAAGGAUCAUUACCGAGAGAGGGGCCUUGUGCUCCCGGGGGCUUCGGCCCCCAACUCUUCACCCUUUGCGUACCUAUCUCUGUUGCUUUGGCGGACCCGGGAAUUCUCUCGCGCUGCCCUUAGGCCUGCGAGCGUCCGUCAAAGGCCCAUUUCAUUCUAUUUAUCAGUGAUGUCCGAGUCCAAACAAUGAAUAAAAACUUUCAACAACGGAUCUCUUGGUUCCAGCAUCGAUGAAGAACGCAGCGAAAUGCGAUAAGUAAUGUGAAUUGCAGAAUUCAGUGAAUCAUCGAAUCUUUGAACGCACAUUGCGCCCCUCGGCAUUCCGGGGGGCAUGCCUGUUCGAGCGUCAUUGCACCCCUCAAGCGCAGCUUGGUAUUGGGCUCUCGCCCCCGUGGCGUGCCUGAAAAACAGUGGCGGUCCGGCAUGACUUUAAGCGUAGUAACAUCUUUCCGCUCUAAAGCUCUCGCCGUGGCCCGCCAAAUAACGCCAUAUACUUCUAUAAUUGACCUCGGAUCAGGUAGGGAUACCCGCUGAACUUAAGCAUAUCAAUAAGCGGAGGAAAAGAAACCAACA